rnacentral:rRNA from 1 species
GACGAACGCUGGCGGCGUGCUUAACACAUUCAAGUCGAACGGAAAGGCCUCUUUCGGGGGGUACUCGAGUGGCGAACGGGUGAGUAACACGUGAGUAACCUGCCCUUGACUUUGGGAUAACUUCAGGAAACUGGGGCUAAUACCGGAUAGGAGCUCCUGCUGCAUGGUGGGGGUUGGAAAGUUUCGGCGGUUGGGGAUGGACUCGCGGCUUAUCAGCUUGUUGGUGGGGUAGUGGCUUACCAAGGCUUUGACGGGUAGCCGGCCUGAGAGGGUGACCGGCCACAUUGGGACUGAGAUACGGCCCAGACUCCUACGGGAGGCAGCAGUGGGGAAUAUUGCACAAUGGGUGGAAGCCUGAUGCAGCAACGCCGUGUGCGGGAUGACGGCCUUCGGGUUGUAAACCGCUUUCGCUCAUGACGAAGCUUUGUGUGACGGUAGUGGGUAAAGAAGCACCGGCUAACUACGUG